rnacentral:sRNA from 1 species
GUUAUGCUGAGCCAGAAGCCGGCUGUGCGUGAUGUGGACCUAUAUGGACGAGCAGCUGACAAGUUUCUCUCCCUAAUCCCACGCUGUUGUCGGCACCACGCCCCCAGCCCACCUCGUCCAGAGCAUGCCUCAUGGGCACGAGGUCCUGGAAGCCCAAGUGUGGACUCCUCUUCUGUGAUGACAGUACCCCGGCCCUCCACACCAUCUCGUCUGGCUCUCUUCCUGCGGCAGCAGAGCCUGGGUGGCUCUGAGUCUCCAGGCCCAGCCCCUUGCUCACCAGGGCUUUCUGCAUCCCCAGCCUCCAGCCCUGGCCGACGGCCUACCCCUGCAGAGGAGGCUGGAGAGCUGGAAGACAAUUACCUGGAGUAUCUGCGUGAGGCACGUCGUGGUGUGGACCGCUGUGUCCGAGCCUGUCGUACCUGGUCUGCCCCCUAUGAUGGCGAGCGGCCCUCUCCUGAGCCCAGUCCUUUUGGCUCCCGGACUAAGAA